rnacentral:lncRNA from 1 species
CAGAGAGGUACUGGAUCUGGCCGAAUGGGUUCUGGAACAAAACAGUCCAAAACGGAGAGGUGCCGGAUCCUGUUCUGGCAAGAUCCUGCUCAAAUUAAGCACUGGUGGUAGGCUAUGUAUUGUACAAGGAUACAAUCAUUUUUAUUCCUUUUUUUUUUUUUAACACUUGGGCUCGUAAGUCUAUGCAUAUAGAAUCCUUAAUAUGCAUAUGGGUGUUUUGAAUUAAUCAUCACCUUGACAGCUGUCUAUUUCGUUGUGCUAGGUUUGGAAAUUUUAACAAUUACCGUGUUUUACUCUGUUUCAACCUUCUAAUCAUCACAGUGAGGGGAGUUUUAAAAGCAUGAUACUGUUUUGAUGAUAAGUGUUUGAUGUGAUUUUAGAUUGUAUUUGCAUUGAUGUCCGAGUGGUUAGAGGAACAAUAAAGCCCUGAGUACCAGGCCAUAGGACCUGAUUGGUCAUUAGCAAAUGACAUACUACCAAAGCAUGUCCAGAGUGCAUAACAGGGGAUUACAUGGUCACAUGGAAUUUUACUGCGGACAUGACUUAUGAUUGACAGACUGAUGGUCUUUCUGCAAUCUGGUGCAGUAAUGCUUAUUUCUGGACACAGUCCCUCCUUUAACUCUAUCUUGCUUCACUCCUCUUCUCACUCUCUCUAAUUUUUCUCCUUUUACUUUGUCCAAUUUCCAUCCUGUUAUCCUCUUGCACCCAUCUGUCCUUUCCUUUCCCUCUCCUCUCCUUUCUCAGUUGUACUUGCUCAACUUCUGCAUCCUCUCUCCUCCGUCCUCUCUCGCCCUUGAUUCGAAAAAGGUCAAAGGAAAUCCAGGAGAGGCGGCCAGUAGAAGGAAUGUGGACGGAAAUGUGCUUGUAUGAAAUGACACUCCACUCCACUUGCACAAAUUACAUGUACGUGGUGAAAUAACAAAAUAAAUGUCAUAAAACAAAUGUAGCUAGUUGUUGAAGACAUUUUAUAGAUAAAAGAAUAAGUAGCAUAUCGUUUGCAUGAUUUUCUCCUUCGAGAACACAAUUCUUCAAAGGACUCAGAUAGGAUACACAUGACUAUCCUCGAUGAAAGGUGGCUAUCGAAGAGGGGAGGACACUCUUCCAACUAAAAAAUGUACAUUCUCCUCCACCACUUAUCGGUUUCUGGGUCAAGGAGGAGAGAGGAUGAAGGACGGACUUUUGGCCAAAUGAAAAAAGGCCCUAAUGUUAGACAUCUGAUGAUCCAAAAAGGCAAGAGGCCUGUAUAUUGCAGAGAUAAUUCUUAGUAAACUAUACAGGCCUACAAACAUUUAGAGGCAAGAGCAGAUCAUAACAUUAGGUUGCAGCAGACCGCAUAACAUUAGGUUGCAUCAGAUCAGCAUAACAUUUAGGUUGCAUCAGUUCAGCAUAACAUUAGGUUGCAGCAGAUCAUAACAUUAGGUUGCAUCAGACAGCAUAACAUUUAGGUUGCAUCAGUUGAGCAUAACAUUAGGUUGCAGCAGAUCAUAACAUUAGGUUGCAUCAGAUCAGCAUAACAUUAGGUUGCAUCCGUUCAGCAUAACAUUUAGGUUGCAUCAGAUCAGAAUAACAUUAGGUUGCAUCAAUUCAGCAUAACAUUAGGUUGCAGCAGAUCAUAACAUUAGGUUGCAGCAGAUCAUAAUAUUAGGUUGCAGGAGAUCAUAACAUUAGGUUGCAGGAGACAGCAUACCAUUAGGUUGUAGCAGAACAACAUAACAUUAGGUUGCAUCAGUUCAGCAUAACAUUAGGUUGCAGCAGACAGCAUAACAUUAGGUUGCAGCAGAUCAUAACAUUAGGUUGCAUCAGACAACAUAACAUUAAGUUGCAGCAGCCAGCAUAACAUUAGGUUGCAGCAGGGAGCAUAACAUUAGGUUGCAGCAGACAGCAUAACAUUAGGUUGCAGCAGACAACAUAACAUUAGGUUGCAGCAGCCAGCAUAACAUUAGGUUGCAGGAGACUACAUAACAUUAGGUUGCAUCAGAAAGCAUAACAUUAGGUUGCAUCAGUUCAGCAUAACAUUAGGUUGCAGGAGAACAACAUAACAUUAGGUUGCAGCAGACAGCAUAACAUUAGGUUGCAUCAGUUCAGCAUAACAUUAGGUUGCAACAGACUGCAUAACAUUAGGUUGCAGCAGACAGCAUAACAUUAGGUUGCAGCAGAUCAUAACAUUAGGUUGCAGCAGAACAACAUAACAUUAGGUUGCAGCAGACAGCAUAACAUUAGGUUGCAUCAAAACAGCAUAACAUUAGGUUGGAGCAGACAGCAUAACAUUAGGUUGGAGCAGAUAGCAUAACAUUAGGUUGCAGCAGAUCAUAACAUUAGGUUGCAUCAGUUCAGCAUAACAUUAGGUUGCAGCAGACCGCAUAACAUUAGGUUGCAGCAGACCGCAUAACAUUAGGUUGCAUCAGACAGCAUAACAUUUAGGUUGCAUCAGUUCAGCAUAACAUUAGGUUGCAUCAGACAGCAUAACAUUAGGUUGCAUCAGAUCAUAACAUUAGGUUGCAUCAGACAGCAUAACAUUAGGUUGCAUCAGAUCAUAACAUUAGGUUGCAUCAGACAGCAUAACAUUAGGUUGCAUCAGAUCAUAACAUUAGGUUGCAUCAGUUUCAGCAUAACAUUUAGGUUGCAUCAGACAACAUAACAUUAGGUUGCAUCAGACAGCAUAACUUUAGGUUGCAUUAGAUCAGCAUAACAUUAGGUUGCAUCAGAUCAGCAUAACAUUAGGUUGCAUCAGAAAGCAUAACAUUAGGUUGCAGGAGAUAGCAUAACAUUAGGUUGCAUCAGUUCAGCAUAACAUUAGAUUGCAUCAGAAAGCAUAACAUUAGGUUGCAUCAGAUCAGCAUAACAUUAGGUUGCAUCAGAUCAGCAUAACAUUAGGUUGCAUCAGAUCAGCAUAACAUUAGGUUGCAUCAGAAAGCAUAACAUUAGGUUGCAGCAAGACUCAUAUGUCUGAUGAUGAAAGGGAAAUCCCAGUCUAGUUUCAUAAAAAUUAUGGUUAAUGCUGUCUCUUUUUCUCUCUUUCCCCCUCUCUUUCUCUCUCUCCCCCUCUCUCUCCCUCUCUCUCUCUCUCUCUCUCUCCUUCUCUCUCUCCCCCUCUCUCUCACUUUCACUCUCUCUCCCUCUCUCUCCCCCUCUCUCGUUUUGUGAUUAUAAAACAUUGUUUAGAAGAAGGCGAAGUUAUUUAACAAGGUUAGUAGGUGACUCAGCCGUGACACUUAUUCUAAUGAGAAAAUCAUUUAAAAUAAGAGAUAUCCCUCAAUACGAGACUGACAAUAUAUCUCAUUCUAUUUAGGCUUUUUCCCUCAAAACCAGAGUGACAAUAUAUCUCAUUCUAUUUAGGCUUUUUCCCUCAAAACCAGAGUGACAAUAUAUCUCAUUCUAUUUAGGCUUUUUCCCUCAAAACCAGAGUGACAAUAUAUCUCAUUCUAUUUAGGCUUUUUCCCUCAAAACCAGAGUGACAAUAUAUCUCAUUCUAUUUAGGCUUUUUCCCUCAAUACCUGAGUGACAAUAUAUAUCAUUCUAUUUACGCUUAAUCCCUCAAAACCAGAGUGACUGUAAGGGUCCUGUGUGUAGCUGGUGUAGAGAGUCAGGCGCAGGACAGCAGAUAUCAGUAGAACAACACCAGGUCUGUAAGGUCCUGUGUGUAGCUGGUGUAGAGAGUCAGGCGCAGGACAGCAGAUAUGAGUAGAACAACACCAGGUCUGUAAGGGUCCUGUGUGUAGCUGGUGUAGAGAGUCAGGUGCAGGACAGCAGAUAUGAGUAGAACAACACCAGGUCUGUAAGGGUCCUGUGUGUAGCUGGUGUAGAGAGUCAGGCGCAGGACAGCAGAUAUGAGUAGAACAACACCAGGUCUGUAAGGGUCCUGUGUGUAGCUGGUGUAGAGAGUCAGGCUCAGGACAGCAGAUAUGAGUAGAACAACACCAGGUCUGUAAGGGUCCUGUGUGUAGCUGGUGUAGAGAGUCAGGUGCAGGACAGCAGAUAUGAGUAGAACAACACCAGG